UACGAAGGGGGCUAGCGUUGCUCGGAAUCACUGGGUGUAAAGCGCACGUAGGCGGCUUUUUAAGUCAGGGGUGAAAUCCUGGAGCUCAACUCCAGGACUGCCUUUGAUACUGGGAAGCUUGAGUCCGGGAGAGGUGAGUGGAACUCCGAGUGUAGAGGUGAAAUUCGUAGAUAUUCGGAAGAACACCAGUGGCGAAGGCGGCUCACUGGCCCGGUACUGACGCUGAGGUGCGAAAGCGUGGGGAGCAAACAGG
rnacentral:rRNA from 1 species